rnacentral:rRNA from 1 species
UACGUAGGGGGCAAGCGUUGUCCGGAUUUAUUGGGCGUAAAGAGCGUGUAGGCGGUCAGGUAGGUCCGUUGUGAAAACUCGAGGCUCAACCUCGAGACGCCGAUGGAAACCAUCUGACUAGAGUCCGGAAGAGGAGAGUGGAAUUCCUGGUGUAGCGGUGAAAUGCGCAGAUAUCAGGAAGAACACCCGUGGCUAAGGCGGCUCUCUAGUACGGUACUGACGCUGAAACGCGAAAGCGUGGGGAGCGAACAGG